rnacentral:rRNA from 1 species
GGUCAAGAAACUAAGGGCGCAAGGCGGAUGCCUUGGCACCAGGAGGCGACGAAGGACGUGACAAGCAACGAAAACCUCGAGUAGGAGCAAAUAUCCAGUGACUCGGGGGAAUCCGAAUGGGGAAACCUACUAGACACACUCUAGUAUCCAUACGUAAAUACAUAGCGUAUGGAAGCGAAUGUUCUGAACUGAAACAUCUAAGUAGGAACAAGAAAAGAAAGAAAACUCGAUUCUCCAAGUAGCGGCGAGCGAACAGAGAACAGCCCAUUAAAGUAAGACUAAACUGAUAGACAAAUCUUAUGGAAAGAAGAACCAAAGAAAGUAACAGUCUUGUAGUCGAAAUCAGAAUAGAGACACUUUAAGAAGAGUACCACGGAGCACGUGAAAUUCUGUGGGAAGAUAGGGGGACCACCCCCUAAGGCUAAAUACUACCUGGUGACCGAUAGCGAAUAGUACCGUGAGGGAAAGGUGAAAAGAACCCCGGGAGGGGAGUGAAAUAGAACCUGAAACCUUGCGCCUACAAGCAGACAGAGGAAGAAGACUUCUAAUGUCGUACUUUUUGUAGAACGGGCCAGCGAGUUACGAUACGUAGCAAGAUUAAACAUUUAAGAUGUGAAGUCGUAGGGAAACCGAGUCUUAAUAGGGCAAAAGUUGCGUGUUGUAGACCCGAAACCGGGUGAUCUAUCCAUGGGCAGAGUGAAGGUAAAGUAAAAUUUACUGGAGGCUCGAACCGGGUAGCGUUUAAAAGCUAUCGGAUGACCUGUGGAUAGGGGUGAAAAGCCAAUCGAACUCGGAUAUAGCUGGUUCUCCUCGAAAUAGCUUUAGGGCUAGCCUUGUUUUAGAUUACAGGAGGUAGAGCACUGAAUAGUCUAGGGGAAGUAAUUCUACCGAAACUUAUCAAACUCCGAAUGCCUGAAAAUCGAUGAACAGGAGUCAGACCAUGAGGGAUAAGCUUCAUAGUCAAAAGGGAAACAGCCCAGACCACCAGUUAAGGUCCCAAAAUACAGAUUAAGUGGGAAAGGAUGUAAUACUACUCAGACAACCAGGAUGUUGGCUCAGAAGCAGCCAUACAUUUAAAGAGUGCGUAAUAGCUCACUGGUCAAGUGGUAAUGCGCCGAAGAUGAACGGGGCUAAAUCUGAUACCGAAACUGUGGGAUAGAAAAGCAAUUAUGCGAGAAGUAUGAAGUAAAAGUGAUUAGGAAAUAUAUCAACUAGUAAAGUAAGAGAGAAAGACAUAAACAAAAUUUGUGAAAACACAAAGCGUAAAACUAUUAAACGAUACAAUUUCUAAAACACUUAACAACAUACAACUGGCAUAAUAGCUUUUCUAUCGGUAGAGGAGCGUUGUAUAUGAGAAGAAGCAAAAAGCGUAAGCAAUUGUGGAUUAUAUACAAGUGAGAAUGCUGGCAUGAGUAGCGAAAAGGGAUGUGAGAAUCAUCCCCGUCGAAAGCCCAAGGAUUCCUGAGCAAGGCUCGUCCUCUCAGGGUAAGUCGGGACCUAAGGCGAGGCCGAAAGGCGUAGUCGAUGGACAACAGGUAGAAAUUCCUGUACUACAAGAUUGUGAUUGAGAGAAGUACUGACGCAGAAGGAAAAGUCGAGCGUGCUGAUGGUUAUGCACGUCCAAAUAACAAGCCAGAAUAUACAGGCAAAUCCGUAUAUUCGUCAACGUAAGUUAUGAUGGGGAGCAGAAAGAUGCGAAGCGACAGAUUCAAACUGCCAAGAAAAGGUGCUAUCGAAUAAUCUUGUACCCGUACCGCAAACCGACACAGGUAGGCAAGAAGAGAAUUCUAAGACGCGCGGAAGAACCUUUGUUAAGGAACUCGGCAAAAUAAUCCCGUAAGUUAGCGAGAAGGGAUGCCUAAGAAAUUAGGUCGCAGAGAAUAGGCCCAAGCGACUGUUUACCAAAAACACAAGUAUCUGCUAAAUCGAAAGAUGAAGUAUAGGUGCUGACACCUGCCCGGUGCUGGAAGGUCAAGGGGACUUGUUAGAGCAAUCGAAGCAACGAACUUAAGCCCCAGUAAACGGCGGCCGUAACUAUAACGGUCCUAAGGUAGCGAAAUUCCUUGUCGGGUAAGUUCCGAC